AGCAUGGCUCUCAGUUGGUGUUCUCUGUUAGAAAGCUCUCGCCUUCCUGAUAUUUGUAAAUUUCCUCCAACAAAAGAUGCUAGAAGGGUACUUGUGAGUGACAAUAGAAGUCUCUGCUGCCUAACCCUGCAACCCCACUGCUCUCAUCUGGUCCAUUUUGGAAAUCUUCUCCCUGCAACUACCCUGGAGGGAGGUUCUCUGUGGACGGGUUGCAUCUAGUUAUGUCAUACUCUUAGGAUUUUCAAGAUGGAAGUUCCCAAGAAAUGGCAUCUCUGGUGAGCAGGCUUAAUGUUGUCACAGCAUAUUUAGAGAGAAGGAGAAAUUUCUUUGCAAGAUGCAAGAAGAGGACUUGCGAGGCGCUUACUAUAAUCUGCCUCCUUGCUCUUGAAAUUUUUCUCCCAGAAUACGAGUAUCAUUAUUCCCUUAGUGGGAAUAACAAGUUUUAUACUUUCUAAUGGCUUUAUGCCGAUGUAGCUGCAGUCCUCCUCGUCCAGGAGGUCUAGGAGGUACGCAUGCAGGUUCAAACCGAUGUAAAGCAUAUAAUAAGUAUUCGAUUUGCAAUAUCGAGUAGUUUUAUGAUAUGUUGGUAUGUUUCUUUUAUCUGGAAUGUAAUCCCAUAAAAGGAAAAGUCAUGUCGAGUAGUUGUUAUGGGAUUUGUGUGUUUUCUUCUUUCCGAAAUGUAAUCUCAGAAAAAAAAUUCCAUUUUUACCGCAAACACCACUUCUAUUUAAGAGAGCGGUAAAUUAGGUUUUACCCCACCGGCCGCCAUUUUCCUCUUUUCACCAGAUUAGAUCUGUUCUUACUUUCUCUUCCACUUCUAGAUCUUGACAUUCCCUUGCACUUUCUUCAUUCCCGAUUCUUGAGUAGGAUAGCCAUUGUAUGCGCGUGAAGCGUCCAGUGACAUUCCACAUGGCUCCUAAGAAGUCGACGAAGGGAAAAGAGGUGGAGAUCAGGCCUACCCGCGACGAGGGGUGGUUGCCAAGUAAGUGUUCAGAAUCUGACUUGGAAUCUCUUGUUGGUGAGGGUCUUUUGCCUUUUAGAUCUGUGAUCCAGUGGCAUCCUGCCUUGGGCCACGACCGUCCGUAUGAGAAUACGGCCGAAAUUGUUGCUUUUGCUCCUUAUUUUAAACGAGGAUUGGGGCUUUCUUGUUCUAAUUUCUUUUCUGGUCUUCUAUAUUAUUACGGGAUCCAGCUUCAUCAUCUUACUCCCAAUUUCUUUGUUCAUCUUUCCAUCUUUGUACACUUGUGCGAAGCUUUUCUGGCCAUCGAGCCCCAUGUUGAGCUUUUCCGCCAUCUCUUCCACCUCGAGCCCCAGCCUAACUCUACCAAGCUAGAUGUAGUUGGUGGUGCGGGCAUUCAGCUUAGGCAGGGGAUAGAUAAAGUUUACAUCCCCUACAAACUAUCGGGUAAGGUGAUCGAUUGGAAGCCAUAGUGGUUUUACAUCGAAAACCAUGGUAAUACUCUUCCAAUGAUUACUCUAGGGCCCCCAGUUAUAAGGCCCGAGUGGAAGAAGAAGCCCUUAGAUACCAGCCAAACUUCAGAUUUGCUCAAGUUAAUUGUAAAUCUGAAGCAAAAUCAGAUAACCGAAGAGGCUGUAGCAUUUGAUUAGAUGAAGCAUAGAAUCCAGCCUCUCCAAGCUCGUGCAACCUUUGGCUUUGAGUAUCAAUGAACAAGUGAUCCAUCGCAGUAUUCGAACAAGGAGAUCUCCAACGGAGAAGCUCUGCGUCGGGUACAGCGACUAUUCGAGAAGGUGGAACAUGUGCCUCACCUACUCGAUACGUUUUCAGCAUUGAAUCGUUCGAAAGAGGAUGACGUGAAUGUAUAUAGGAGCAACCCUCCUUUGCCAGGCAUAUAUUGCCCCUUUUUCCUUCUUCCUAGUGCUCAUGCGCCGCCUGUGCCGGAUUCUGAAGACUCUUCAGGAAUCGAAGGGUUUGGUUUUGACGAUAAAUCUGAUAAUGCAGAGGCUAGAGAAGCAGCUGGAGAGGAGGAGUGUUGGGGACAGAGCCCCUGCCCGAGCGACAAUGUAGUGGCUGAUCACCCUAAAGGCCCUCGAUCAGCUGCACGAAAGCAUCGGGUUUCGUCUUUGCCUAGUGACAAAAGAUAAGCCAGCUUAUGUUGCGAUCGAGUACUUUUUUUGAGUUUCAUCAAGUUUGCUUUUCUCAAGCUGUUUUGCUUUUUUAAGUCCGGCGGACAAGGUGCCAUGGACUGCAGCAUCAGGGGAUGAUACUAGGGUGGGAUCAACAGUCCCUUCCACCCCAGUGGACCUGUCAAAGGGGACCAAAGCUAUCCCGCUGCAGAAGACUGUGCCGGUGGGUAGCUCCAAGCAAGGUGGCGCCACUCAAGGGGAGAAGGGUGCUGGAGUUGGCAGGGCACUAAUUGUUAGGCCUCUCCCAAAGUUGAUAGCGCCGAGGAAGCACUCCAUGAAGAGAGCAUCCGCUGACGUGAUUCUGGGAUCUGGUGGGAGUACUUCCGCAGCCCCCAAGCCUUCAAACGAAGAUCCUGCGGGUGUCACUGAUGUGGAUGCCCGUGCUGCAGAGGAGAUGGCGGAUUACACACUACGGGAUUCGCCAAUUCCUGAGACGGAGGAGGAGCGGAAGCAAGCGGAAGAUAUCCCUACAGGUCCUCACAAUCAAGAGGAUCCUAGGGGGGAAGUUGGAGAUACGCCGCAUGUGGAGGUGUCACUUGUGGUGGGGUGAAUACCUCUGUUGCCUCAUCGGGAGGUGCCCAGUCACUGGUGGAGAGGAUAAAGCUUGCACAAGAGAACAAGAACCUUGUGCAGAAGCUUUUGGCGGAGCUGGCAGAGCAGGGGAGCAGCAAGCCCCAAGACAACUCAGAGCUACUUGCUCUGAUAGGUGUCCAAGCUCACAGCUGAAAAGAUUGUUCUUGUGGAGAAGAACAAGAAAAUCUCCAAAGAAAAAAGAGAUGAAAUUGGAAAGCUUCAGAUGAUCAAGGCGGAAUCCGACAAGGAAAUGCUUGAAGCAUUACAACAAGUGAAGUAUUUGUCGGACUCCGACACUGCGUUGCAACAAGAACUCGAUGAGUAGAAGGUUGCGGCCCAGGCUAUGGUGGACAUCCCCGAGGACAAUGCAGAGGCGCCUCUCUCCCUGGCAGAGAAGCUUUGGGCGACCACCUGACAGUACGUAUCCCAUGUAUUCUGGUUGGUGAAGUCCUACUGGCCACACACACCCCCCUAGAUCCGCUAGGCGAGGGCAUGAAAUCCGACUGCGAUGAAAGGCAGUUCGAGCAAUACCUUCUUGUAGUCUCACCGAUAGCUGAUAGGAUUGUGAGCAGCCUGGAGAAUGCCUGAUCUUUUGAGCUUUUAUUCAUUUGAAAGAUGAUGUAAUGGGCUUCUGGAACCCUAAAUACUCUUGUGUCUGUGCAAAUAUUUAAAUUUGAUUUGCACUGAGUAUUUGUUGAUACCAGAAGGAGUAACGAAUCCUUGGUGAUCGAGUA